rnacentral:rRNA from 1 species
AGAGUUUGAUCCUGGCUCAGGAUGAACGCUGGCGGCGUGCUUAACACAUGCAAGUCGAACGCAGUGCUCUUGCUUCGGUAGGGGCAGCUGAGUGGCGGACGGGUGCGUAACACGUAGGAACCUGCCCCAGAGAGGGGGAUAACCGUUGGAAACGACGGAUAAUCCCGCAUACGCUCCUACGGGAGAAAAGCUACGGCGCUCUGGGAUGGGCCUGCGGCCUAUCAGGUAGUUGGUGGGGUAAUGGCCUACCAAGCCUACGACGGGUAGGGGGCGUGAGAGCGUGGCCCCCCACACGGGAACUGAGACACGGCCCAGACUCCUACGGGAGGCAGCAGUGGGGAAUUUUGGACAAUGGGGGCAACCCUGAUCCAGCCAUGCCGCGUGCGGGAAGAAGGCCUUCGGGUUGUAAACCGCUUUUGUCAGGGAAGAAAUCCUCUGAGUUAAUACCUCGGGGGGAUGACGGUACCUGGAGAAUAAGCACCGGCUAACUACGUGCCAGCAGCCGCGGUAAUACGUAGGGUGCAAGCGUUAAUCGGAAUUACUGGGCGUAAAGCGUGCGCAGGCGGUCUUGUAAGACAGAGGUGAAAUCCCCGGGCUCAACCUGGGAACUGCCUUUGUGACUGCAAGGCUUGAGUGCGGCAGAGGGGGAUGGAAUUCCGCGUGUAGCAGUGAAAUGCGUAGAUAUGCGGAGGAACACCGAUGGCGAAGGCAAUCCCCUGGGCCUGCACUGACGCUCAUGCACGAAAGCGUGGGGAGCAAACAGGAUUAGAUACCCCGGUAGU